GUAACAAGGUUUCCGUAGGUGAACCUGCGGAAGGAUCAUUACCGAGUGCGGGCUGCCUCCGGGCGCCCAACCUCCCACCCGUGACUACCUAACACUGUUGCUUCGGCGGGGAGCCCUCUCGGGGGCGAGCCGCCGGGGACUACUGAACUUCAUGCCUGAGAGUGAUGCAGUCUGAGUCUGAAUAUAAAAUCAGUCAAAACUUUCAACAAUGGAUCUCUUGGUUCCGGCAUCGAUGAAGAACGCAGCGAACUGCGAUAAGUAAUGUGAAUUGCAGAAUUCAGUGAAUCAUCGAGUCUUUGAACGCACAUUGCGCCCCCUGGCAUUCCGGGGGGCAUGCCUGUCCGAGCGUCAUUGCUGCCCAUCAAGCCCGGCUUGUGUGUUGGGUCGUCGUCCCCCCCGGGGGACGGGCCCGAAAGGCAGCGGCGGCACCGUGUCCGGUCCUCGAGCGUAUGGGGCUUUGUCACCCGCUCGAUUAGGGCCGGCCGGGCGCCAGCCGACGUCUCCAACCAUUUUCUUCAGGUUGACCUCGGAUCAGGUAGGGAUACCCGCUGAACCUAAGCAUAUCA
rnacentral:misc_RNA from 1 species